AGAGUUGAUCCUGGCUUAGAUUGAACGCUGGCGGCGUGCUAACACAUGCAAGUCGCGCGUGAAAGGACUUCGGUCCGAGUAAAGCGGCGCACGGGUGAGUAACGCGUGGAUGAUCUACCCAUGAGUUAGGAAUAACGGCUGGAAACGGUCGCUAAUACCAAAUACGCUCCGAUUUCAACUUCGGGGGAAAGGUGGCCUCUGCUUGCAAGCCACUGCUCAUGGAUGAGUCCGCGUCCCAUUAGCUAGUUGGUGGGGUAACGGCCCACCAAGGCGACGAUGGGUAGCCGGUCUGAGAGGAUGACCGGCCACACUGGGACUGGAACACGGCCCAGACUCCUACGGGAGGCAGCAGUGGGGAAUAUUGCGCAAUGGGCGAAAGCCUGACGCAGCGACGCCGCGUGAGGGGAAUGAAGGUCCUCGGAUCGUAAACCUCUGUCAGGAGGGAAGAACCGCCACGGUGCUAAUCAGCCGUGGUCUGACGGUACCUCCAAAGGAAGCACCGGCUAACUCCGUGCCAGCCGCCGC
rnacentral:rRNA from 1 species